AAGGUUACAACUACACCACGGAUAUCCAUUUUCCACUCCUCCCGCGAUAUCGUCAGGAACUGAAAAUGGCUGAGAGGCAAUCUGCCUCGUCCGUAUUGAUACAGAAGGGUCUCUGGCCAAGUUUGUUCAGAUGUGCAGGAAUUUUUACUUCGUACUAAGUGGGUUUGCAGCUUAUGCGGCGUUACUUUCGGCCCGAAGCCGUUGUUGGUGCAUGCCGCGAGUCCCGCAGAUUUAUAUGGAGCUCCACAGUUGAGCUCCAUGGCAGUUUGUCCCUCAAGUCCACGCUUUAGUCUUCCUUAGCUGAGUUUAGUCAAUCCAAAACACAGCUCUUUUGCUACAAAAGCCCCUUGUGAAAGUGACGUGGCUCCAACAUUGCAACCUUGACGAAGCAUUCCCCGAUACAACUGCAAGUUCGCGGGUUUUACACUGUCAUCCGCUGGGG
rnacentral:sRNA from 1 species